AUUGAACGCUGGCGGAAUGCUUUACACAUGCAAGUCGAGCGGCAGCGCGGGGGCAACCCUGGCGGCGAGCGGCGAACGGGUGAGUAAUACAUCGGAACGUGUCCUUGAGUGGGGGAUAGCUCGGCGAAAGCCGGAUUAAUACCGCAUAAGCUCUGAGGAGGAAAGCGGGGGACUGGUAACGGCCUCGCGCUGUUGGAGCGGCCGAUGUCGGAUUAGCUAGUUGGUGGGGUAAAGGCCCACCAAGGCGACGAUCCGUAGCUGGUCUGAGAGGAUGAUCAGCCACACUGGAACUGAGACACGGUCCAGACUCCUACGGGAGGCAGCAGUGGGGAAUUUUGGACAAUGGGGGCAACCCUGAUCCAGCCAUUCCGCGUGAGUGAAGAAGGCCU
rnacentral:rRNA from 1 species